rnacentral:lncRNA from 1 species
GGGACUGCCCCCCCUGUCCAGCAGGGUUUUACUGUUUGGAAGACAGCUCACGGAGACCGGGCUCCCAAUUCAUGUGCCCACAAGGGUAUUACUGUGAGGAGGGCACAGAAAUGCCCCACGGGUCACCUUGCCCCGCUGGCACUGCAGGAGAACAACUGGGCCAGACAAGUAGGACAGCCUGAGAUGUUCAGAGGGACGAUUGUGUCCUGCAGACCGACUGAUGGGCCAAUUGGAGGCUUGUGUCCAGCAGGAAGUUACUGCCCUCCUGGCUCUCCCCAUGCCUCCGACAAUUUUAGCAUUCAGCACUGGCCUCCGCACCUCCCAGCAGCGUGUUGACUGCCCAGCUGUUUAAGAACUCAUAGUUAGGGCCUGGAGUCCCAGUCAGAUCACAUGGUCAGAAAAACUAGCCCCAUCUAUUAUCGAGAUCCGAUUCAGCUAUACUUUUUUUAUGUUUUCAAUUUAUAGAAAAGCACCCACUCUCUGUGUCAUCAUCAUCAAAGUGUUUCUUUGUUUUAGGUCCUAUUGUUUAGGUUCAAAUAAUACUUCUCCAAUUGGCCUGUGAUCUGCUGGUUUCUACUGUACUCUGUAUCACCUGCUCAGAAUGAGGCUGAGGAGGGUCAGUAUGCCCUGAUCCCUGUCCCAUUGGCACCGGUACAGUACAUGUAGUGCACGAUGUAGGGGAGGGAUCAGAGCAGGUAGCCUAGCGGUUAAGAGUGUUGAGCCAGUAAUUGAAAGGUCACUGGUUCAAAUCCCUGAGUCAACUAGGCAAAAAAUCUGUAGAUGUGCCAUUGAGCAAGGCACUUAACCCUAAUUGCUCAUGUAAGUCGCUCUGGAUAAGAGUGUUUACUAAAUAACUCAAAUGUAAAAUAUAAACAUAAUUACACAUAAGAUGUUGACUGCAAAUUGACUGCACAAAGCCCAAACAGAUAUGUUUGACUGAAACAUAAUCAUGUCCAACCUUGCUUACAUUUGUAUACAAUGCGUGGGAGUACUUGAACAGAUUAUUUUCUAAUUAAAAUCACUUGUUGCUGAUUUCCUGAUGUUUUUAGUCUAUUAUGUCCAACAAUAAAAUAUGUAUAAAUAAAAAGUUAAUAUAUACAGUACCAGUCAAAAGUUGACACCUACUCAUUCCAGGGUUUUUCUUUAUUUGUACUAUUUUCUACAUUGUAGAAUAACAGUGAAGACAUCAAAACUAUGAAAUAUGUGGAAUCAUGUAGAAACCAAAAAAGUGUUAAAGAAUCACAUCAGUGACUCAACCCACUCAAGUCGAGUAUAGCAAAAGCCUGGCACGCCGUGACGCGC